rnacentral:rRNA from 1 species
UACGUAGGGGGCAAGCGUUGUCCGGAUUUAUUGGGCGUAAAAGGCUUGUAGGUGGCCACGCCAAGUCGGAUGUGAAAUCUCCCGGCUCAACUGGGAGGGGUCAUUCGAUACUGGCGGGCUCGAGGCCGGUAGGGGGAAGUGGAAUUCCCGGUGUAGUGGUGGAAUGCGUAGAUAUCGGAAGGAACAUCAGUGGCGAAAGCGGCUUCCUGGUCCAGCACCGACGUUCAGGCACGAAAGCGUGGGGAGCAAACAGG